ACGUUAGCGGCGGACGGGUGAGUAACACGUGGGUAACCUACCUAUAAGGCUGGGAUAACUUCGGGAAACCGGAGCUAAUACCGGAUAAUAUUUCGAACCGCAUGGUUCGAUAGUGAAAGGUGGCUUUGCUAUCACUUAUAGAUGGACCCGCGCCGUAUUAGCUAGUUGGUAAGGUAACGGCUUACCAAGGCGACGAUACGUAGCCGACCUGAGAGGGUGAUCGGCCACACUGGAACUGAGACACGGUCCAGACUCCUACGGGAGGCAGCAGAG
rnacentral:rRNA from 1 species